rnacentral:rRNA from 1 species
AUGUUCAAUAACAUUAACAGAUCUACUGCUCCUCUUCCCGACACUGGUCAGUGGCUUCUUCUAGCACUAAACGAGAGGCUUCCUCAAACUGUGGUUUAUCUAUUGAGAGCCCACAUCAUCACUCUACAUAGUUACUUGAUGUUGUUUAUCAUGUUGGGAUUCUCGAUUUUUGACUGCAUUGAAGGUCCUGGCCUUGGAAUAGGCACAAGGUAUAUGUUCGUUAUGGCGGUCGGGCGUUUUCUUUGGACCAUAACAUUUGUUUCUACCAUUCUUCCAUCCGUAAGGCCUUGGUGUGCUGCUGCUCGAUAUAAAAUACCUGAUCAUCCUCAUGCUUGGGCACAGAAGUAUUAUGUUCUGUAUGCUUCUAAUCCGCGUGCAAUCCGCAGGGUCAUACUAGUGGAUAUGCCAUAUGCCAGUGUUCAAAAUUACACUGAUCACUAUAGACCUGAUUGGGCACAUAUGAGCUUCCUAGUAGACAUAUUGAGGCCCUCUGCCGGAGAGGGGCCUUCGUGGUAUCAUUUGGUGAAUAAAGCCGGUGGUGGUUGCAAUGAUCUUAUAUAUAGUGGCCACAUGUUUGUUGCUGUCCUGACUGCUAUGGCAUGGACGGAAGCGUACGGGGGAUGGAUAUCAGGUGGGAUAUGGUUUCUAGUCCUGCACAGUGCCCAGAGGGAGAUACGGGAGCGUUACCAUUAUAGUGCCGACUGCAUUGUAGCAAUUUACGUUGGAAUCCUCUUGUGGCGGGUCACUGGGUUCAUCUGGUCCACCAGGGAUUCAGAUCAAGCUAGAAGACUCGCCAAACUCGAUGAGGUUCAGAACAGAUUAUUUCAUGCUGCAAAGGACUCGGACAUCGACGAAAUAAGGGGGCUGCUAAAUGAAGUUGAGAUGGCUGGACAGUCAAAGAGGACCUUCUCACAGGGUGUCAUCUUAUCCUUUGCUGCUUUUAUGAUUACAUUCACCCUCCUGUUUGUUCUCCUUGCAUUCUCACUUACUAGCAAUGGAUGA